GGAACCGGUAAAUCGGAUUACUGGGCGUAAAGCGCGCGUAGGCGGUUUGUUAAGUCAGAUGUGAAAUCCCCGGGCUCAACCUGGGAAUGGCAUUUGAGACUGGCAGGCUAGAGUGUGGUAGAGGUGAGUGGAAUUUCAGGUGUAGCGGUGAAAUGCGUAGAGAUCUGAAGGAACAUCAGUGGCGAAGGCGACUCACUGGGCCAUUACUGACGCUGAGGUGCGAAAGCGUGGGUAGCAAACAGGAUUAGGUACCCUGGUAGUCCACGCCCUAAACGAUGUCAACUAGGUGUAUGGAGAAUUUAUUCUUUGUGUAUCGAAGCUAACGCGAUAAGUUGACCGCCUGGGGAGUACGGUCGCAAGACUAAAACUCAAAUGAAUUGACGGGGGCCCGCACAAGCGGUGGAGCAUGUGGUUUAAUUCGAUGCAACGCGAAGAACCUUACCUGGCCUUGACAUGUACGGAAGAUUGAAGAGAUUCGAUU
rnacentral:rRNA from 1 species